rnacentral:rRNA from 1 species
CCUACGGGGGGCUGCAGUGGGGAAUAUUGGACAAUGGGCGAAAGCCUGAUCCAGCCAUGCCGCGUGUGUGAAGAAGGCCUUCGGGUUGUAAAGCACUUUCAGUGGGGAAGAAAGCCUUGGGGCUAAUACCCUCGAGGAAGGACAUCACCCACAGAAGAAGCACCGGCUAACUCCGGCCAGCAGCCGCGGUAAUACGGAGGGUGCGAGCGUUAAUCGGAAUUACUGGGCGUAAAGCGCGCGUAGGCGGUCUGAUAAGCCGGUUGUGAAAGCCCCGGGCUCAACCUGGGAACGGCAUCCGGAACUGUCAGGCUAGAGUGCAGGAGAGGAAGGUAGAAUUCCCGGUGUAGCGGUGAAAUGCGUAGAGAUCGGGAGGAAUACCAGUGGCGAAGGCGGCCUUCUGGACUGACACUGACGCUGAGGUGCGAAAGCGUGGGUAGCAAACAGGAUUAGAUACCCGGGUAGUC